CUUUUCUUCUUCCACAAGCAUGUUCCUCCCUCUUAUUUUGGACUACCAGCUUCUUCUAGAACCUGUGGGAUUUCACCCUUCCUUAACUAUAAAAAGAAGACUUCUUGGGCCAGGCCGGUGGCUCACGCCUGUAGUCCCAGCACUUUGGGAAGCCGAGGCGGAUGGAUCACGAGGUCAGGAGAUCGAGACCAGACUGGCCAACAUGGUGAAACCCCGUCUCUAACAAAAAUAGAAAAAUCAGCUGGGCAUGGUGGUGCAUGCCUGUAGUCCCAGCUACUUGGGAAGCUGAGGCAGGAGAAUUGCUUGAACCUGGGAGGUGGAGGUUGCAGUAAACCGAGAUCGUGCCACUGCACUCCAGCCUGGUGAC
rnacentral:lncRNA from 1 species